rnacentral:rRNA from 1 species
UACGUAGGUGGCAAGCGUUGUCCGGGUUUAUUGGGUUUAAAGGACGCGUAGGCGGCCAGCACAAGUCAGUUGUGAAAUCUCCGAGCUUAACUCGGAAAGGUCAACUGAUACUGUGCGGCUAGAGUGCGGAAGGGGCAACUGGAAUUCUUGGUGUAGCGGUGAAAUGCGUAGAUAUCAAGAGGAACACCUGCGGCGAAGGCGGGUUGCUGGGCCGACACUGACGCUGAUGCGCGAAAGCUAGGGGAGCGAACGGG